rnacentral:ncRNA from 2 species
GUAGCAUUUACGAAAUGCCUCGGAAAAGGGAACGCGGGAUGGCCGACCUUCGGCCUGAUCCGCGGCUGCCCCCGCAACUGUAGGCGGCGAGCCCACCUCCGACAGCCACUGGCCGAUGGCCGGGAAGGCGGGGGCAGGCGACGACCCGCGAGCCAGGAGACCUGC